rnacentral:misc_RNA from 1 species
UUGCCCUCAGGAUGUGAGCCUAUGA